rnacentral:lncRNA from 1 species
GCUAGAGUUCUAAUUUUAUGAUAUUUUAUGAUAUUUAUGAUAUUAUGGUGAAAUAUUGUAGUAAGUAUUGCUAAAAUAUUAAAAAAUUUGUGUUUUUGUUUAGCUUUUUGAGUUUGUUUGUUUGUUCUUUGUUUUGUUUUGUUUUGUUUUGUUUUUUUGAUUUGAGGUUUGGAUUUGUUGUUAGAUUAGUGAAAUGUGGAUUGAACUGAAGUUGUUUUUAUAAUAUAGUGCUAUGUUUUUGUGUUUUUUUUUUUAGCUUUUUGAAUUUGUCUAUUUAUUUGUUCUUUGUUUUGUUUUGUUUUGUUUUGUUUUGUUUUGUUUUGUUUUUUUUUUUUUUUUUUUUUUUAUAUUUGGAUUUAUUGUUGGACUGGUGAAAUGUGGGUUGGAUUGAAGUUGUGUGUAUAAAAUUGGAUUUUAAAAUUUUAUUAUUUUGAAAAACUAUUUAUUAUUUAUAAUAUUUUAAAAU